rnacentral:rRNA from 1 species
AUUGAACGCUGGCGGCAGGCCUAACACAUGCAAGUCGAACGAGUGGCGGACGGGUGAGUAAUGUCUGGGAAACUGCCUGAUGGAGGGGGAUAACUACUGGACACGGUAGCUAAUACCGCAUACCAUCAGAUGUGCCCAGAUGGGAUUAGCUUGUUGGUGGGGUAACGGGUCACCCAGGCGACGAUCCCUAGCUGGUCUGAGAGGAUGACCAGCAACAAUGGAACUGAGGCACGGUCCAGACUACUCCGGGAGGCAGCAGUGGUGAAUAUUGCGCAAUGGGCGCAAGCAUGAUGCAGCCAGGCCGCGUGUAUGAAGAAGGACUUCGGGUUGUAAAGUACUUUCAGCGAGGAGGCGUUACCCGCAGAAGAAGCACCGGCUAACUCCGUGCCAGCAGCCGCGGUAAUAC